rnacentral:rRNA from 1 species
UACAGAGGGGGCAAGCGUUGUUCGGAGUUACUGGGCGUAAAGAGUGCGUAGGCGGUUUUCUAAGUUUGGUGUGAAAUCUCCCGGCUCAACCCGGGAACUGCGUCCGAUACUGGCAGGCUUGAAUCCGGGAGAGGGAUGCGGAAUUCCAGGUGUAGCGGUGAAAUGCGUAGAUAUCUGGAGGAACACCGGUGGCGAAGGCGGCAUCCUGGACCGGCAUUGACGCUGAGGCGCGAAAGCCAGGGGAGCAAACGGG